rnacentral:snoRNA from 1 species
CUACAUGAUGACACACAACGUUUUUAAACUAUAUUUCUGGUACCUCUUGAUUGCAGAAGGGAUUCAUGCUCAUGUAUGACUCCUUCGAUGAUCUCAAUGGACUUCUGAAC